GUGUCAGCCGCCGCGGUAAGACGAACCGUGCGAACGUUGUUCGGAAUCACUGGGCUUAAAGGGCGCGUAGGCGGGCUGCCGCGUCCGGGGUGAAAUCCUCCCGCUCAACGGGAGAACGGCCUCGGAUACGGGCGGCCUCGAGGGGGGUAGGGGCAUCUGGAACUGUGAGUGGAGCGGUGAAAUGCGUUGAUAUUCACAGGAACUCCGGUGGCGAAGGCGAGGUGCUGGACCCCAUCUGACGCUGAGGCGCGAAAGCCAGGGGAGCGAACGGGAUUAGAUACCCCCGUAGUCC
rnacentral:rRNA from 1 species